rnacentral:rRNA from 1 species
GAUGAACGCUGGCGGCGUGCCUAAUACAUGCAAGUCGAGCGAAUGGAUUAAGAGCCUGCUCUUAUGAAGUUAGCGGCGGACGGGUGAGUAACACGUGGGUAACCUGCCCAUAAGACUGGGAUAACUCCGGGGAACCGGGGCUAAUACCGGAUAACAUUUUGAACCGCAUGGUUCGAAAUUGAAAGGCGGCUUCGGCUGUCACUCAUGGAUGGACCCGCGUCGCAUUAGCUAGUUGGUGAGGUAACGGCUCACCAAGGCAACGAUGCGUAGCCGACCGGGGAGGGUGUUCGGCCAGACUGGGACUGAGACACGGCCCAGACUCCUACGGGAGGCAGCAGUAGGGAAGCUUCCGCAAUGGACGAAAGUCUGACGGAGCAACGCCGCGUGAGUGAUGAAGGCUUUCGGGUCGUAAAACUCUGUUGUUAGGGAAGAACAAGUGCUAGUUGAAUAAGCUGGCACCUUGACGGUACCUAACCAGAAAGCCACGGCUAACUACGUGCCAGCCGCCGCAGUAA